GGUGGACAAUGCAGGUCUGGCUGGCCCGCCCAGGCCCCUCCCCCUGCCUUACUUUCUCCACUUCUGAGAGUGAUGGCCCUGGAGGACUCGGCCCUUCUUUGCAGCCCCAAGGGAAGGCGGGUACUGAGGCACAGAGGUGACAUGGGACCUAAUGUCAGUGGGGACAGUCUCUACUAGCUGACCAUCCCCCACCCCUGAAAAGCCACCCAAUCCUCAGGCUGCAGAAGGACCCCUACUGUUUCUAUUCAAAACAAAUGUACUCUGUUGGCUGAAGCCCGAAUCCCAGUAGUGACAACAGCGGGGGGCCAACCAGGACCCCUCCCCCACCCUGCCCCCCUACUGUCCAUGACGCCCAGGUUAGAAAGAUCCUGAAGGUCAUCAAAGUAAGCCCUGGUCCCCCAACCCUCUCUCAGCCUGUUGCCCAUACUCAGAAGCCCUCAGUUACUCCGUCCGGGGAAUCAGGGCUUCUGGUUAAUAGGCUUAGACUUUCGAUGCCAACCCUGGAAGACAAUUACUCUGGAACAGACACUGCAGCAAGACGCCCUGGGCCCAACGCCCGGGACCCGACCCCGGGGCUCUGAGCCGGCAAGCAGCCUGGAUGUCAGGUAAGAAAUCCAAGGGCAGCCCAAGCGCCCAGGCAAGGAGCCCGUCCACCAAGUGGCCUCAGGAAGGUCUUUGUGGGUGGGCAGCAGGGGAGAAGGGUGAGCCCAGACUAACCUGCCCGGGAAGCAGCGACACCAAGGGUCAGCAUAGCACACAGGCAGGACCGUCCAGCCUGUGGCAGGCAGGGAACGUGGGGCUGACCCCUCACUUCCUGGAGGUGGAGGUGGGGUCGCUUUCCGUGACGGGCAGGGGAGGCCUCCGGGCCAACACCCAACUCCAAAGAAAACGAAAGGUGAACAGUCAGCCUGUUCCUGUUCGCCUGAGCUUUGAAGGUUAGCAGGCGGGGAGAAGGCGGGGAAGCCCCGCUGCACCCGUGGACGGAAGGACAGAGGGGCCGCGUCUCAGCGUGGAGGCGCUGGCCCGCCCGCAUCCACUGCGCGCAUCCUCCUCAGUUACUCCACGGGAAGGACGAGCAUUGCCCUUCGCGGCUGCGCUCAGCAGCGUGGUCACGGCUGGUCUGAGCGGACAGCGGACGGCUGCCAAGAAAGGAACCUGUGUCUGCUGGGGUGCUGCUGAGAUCACAGACCCUGACAGCAAGACCGUGGGGGCCAGCGGCCAGAGACCGCGUCAGAAGCCUUGUCCCGAAGUCUGGGGGGGACCCACCCGGGCCUCGCCGCCCCCCACCCAGCCUGUGACUGCGACUUCAGGACCUCAGGAGUGAGUGAAGUAGUGGGAGGAUGUCUGGGCUGCGUGUGACUUCAGUGUCACACCCCGGCACUGUUCAAAAAGCCACCUUCCCCACUCCAGACAAAAGUGCCGUGCAUGCCAGCCUGGCCAGGUUUGACUGCAGGCGUCUCUCAGGAGAUGACAUAGACAAUGCCAUGAGAGGGGGCUUGGCGCUGGGCGCGAGGGCUCAGGAGCCGUGGAGCUCACCGGGUCGGCCUCCCCUGGAAGGUGGCUCCUGCUCCCAGCACCUUCCAGAGCGGUUAACCAUGAGACUAGCUCCAGGCUCCGGCUAGGUGCCCCCGUGUUCCCAUCUCACUGGUAGACGUUUGUGAAGCGAUGCUUUUUAGAGACGGUACCAAACGAUGAGAAAGGUGACCAGGCCGGCUUCCUCCAGGCACGUUUCUAGCUAUGGAUACAUUUCCCUGAACGCAUCCACGAGAACCCCAUCUUCCCAGCACCCACAGCGCCACAUACAAGAAGGAGAGACCUGGACAGAGGAGCCACCAUUUCACACUCAGGCUUCUGGGGGAGACGCUGGGACACAGCCAGAUAAAGGUUCCUCUGAGAACCGUGUGGACAGAGUUCCCUUCGGGCCCUCACCCACGAGCCCCUGCGGCCGAAUCCCGUUGUGCUCGGGCAGGAGGACUGGACCCCUCUUCUGUCCUAACGCCUUUGUAGCCCAAGUCACUUCCAGGAUUCGCCCAUGCCGGCCGUCCGGCCAGCCUCCCCCUGAAACCAGCCCACAGAGAGGCCAGUUUUGCGGCCACCAACACUGAAAGGUGGAUGCAGGCGCCGAGAGCCUCCAGAUGUCCUUUCCAUGAGACCCACUGACGGCAGUCAAACGUGGAAGACGGACUUAGAGCUUCUCAAGGCUGCAGGGACACGUACGUGCUGCUCCUGUGGCAGGAGGUCCGAGGAGACGGCUCUGAGGGUGCGAAGUCUGCGCCUUGUGCUCUGGCAGCUGAGCUGAAGGCAAGACACAGGCUUCGGUGCAGAGGGCUCGGAAGGAAGCGCGCUCAGGAAGAUUCUGGAGUCGCUGAGACACGCGGGCUGACAGGAGGGAGCUCCAGGCCCAGACGUGACAGGGAAGAGGGAGACCAGGGCCUGACAAGGGGCUGUCUUGGCCAGCUCACCUUUGCCUCACCUGACCCCUGGGGCGCUGGCAGGUCCAGGCUGCACUUCUGACCCUGAUUCAGGCUGCAGGUGCCCGGGCACCUCAGAUCACGCAGCGGGACAGUGUAAACCGCUGCUCCCUCUGUCAGCGGGCCCAAGCCCCACGCAGGACAGCCCCCAGCAACUCCAGGGCCCCAAGCACACCUGAAGCCCCGGGCAGGAAAGCAACGAAAGGCCCGGAAGGAGCUCCUGGACCGGCCGGCCCGCUUCUCCUCUCCCAGCUGUGGCGGGGACACGGAGGCUGUGCUCACCAAAGCCGCUCGCAGCCCAGGGCGCCCCAAGGGUCAGCAUCCUCACCAAACCGUUUCACAGCUCGGCUGAAGUCGGGCCACAGUCCUUCCCGCGGACUCAGCAUCGUCGAGGGGCACAAAACAGUCCGUACCUUCGCUACACAGAACAGACGCUUCAUCUGUAAGUUUCUGAUGAUGGUAAACUCCGCGGAGGUAAUAAGAGGUAGCAAUGCCUGUGUCUGUCUGUUGUACAAAUAUUAACAAGGCCCUUAAUUUUACAGCAUUACAGAGCUUUUCCUUUUUGUCUCAUUGUGACUUUUCUUAAACCUUAUCUUCGAUGUGAAAAUGAUUAUGGAAAAUUACCUACAUUUAUAAUUCAUUCACACGUUUAUUUCCUGUCAGUACACAGAGGGCAACCCCAAAGUUCUUCUGAAUGUCAAGUAUGUGGUAAGUUUCUAGCUGCGACAGUGACAAGGGGACACCUAAAAACCAAGGCAGUGAGACAGAAACAUGAUCUUAAACCUAUUACGUAAUAAUACUGGUAUUAAAGCUCCAUUAAUUAUCGCAACAGUUAAGAACUUAAUUUACCAACAUUUCACAUUAAGAAGGCUCUUUAUGAAAUUUAUUCAAGUUGUCAAGAAAUUAGAUGAAAAUAUAAAAAGGAAAUACAUAUAAAUUUUGCUUGUGAUUUUCAAUAACAGUAAAAUAUCCGUACAAUUUUAUAGUGUCACCUAACAUACUUUUAUGAAACUUAGGUAUACAGAAAUUAGAAAUGCAGACCAUUUUUUACACUUCUACAUUAAGAGAAGCAAUUUCACUAUGACGAGUUCGUGUGACAGACGCAGCUGUGGGUGAAGCCAACCCAGCGGGCAGUGCCCUCCACCGGGGCACUUUGGUGCGUGUCAGAGGCACAGCUGGGCCCGGGCACACCUGCCCAGCCUGCUGGGCCCCUUGGCGAGCGGGGUGCUCUGGCCAAGGAUGACCUUGCCACCGUCCCUGCGUUUGCCAGGAUGGCAGCCUCUCCAGGUCUCUCCGCAGGCCUACAGGUGCACGCAGAGGUGCCCGGCCCAGCACAAGGGGGCAGUGACCAGAGGCCAGCCACUUCCCUUGCCCACCUGCGCGUGGGGACAGGCAGGGCCCAAGCCGCCCGCCCACCCAGGACAGCACCUGAGCUCCAGGCAUCUUUCCUGGGACGUCCGAUCCCAGUCGGCUGCUCGUUCUUCCUCAGUCACAGACACAGACGUGGCCUCCGGGUUGGGUCGUCCAAAGCCUUCUCUAGCCCUCCCUGGCUGACCCUGUGGCUUCCUCUUACAGAGCUUCCUCCACGAGGAAGGCAGACAUCUCCCUCUCGGUUCCCAAUGGCUUCACCAACUCCAGUGCACAUUCAGUCCUUGACAGUUUCUUCAAAAUGCAGGACACAGCCCAAGAAGUAGAGGCGUCGGGGAGAAGUGGCUGACUGGCUGCCGCGAGGACCUGGCGGUUAGGCCAGCAGCACGGACAGCGUCCCAGCGGGGAGGGAUGUGGUCCUGCCAUAGAAACUGGAACAGUGGCAGGGCAUGUUGUCCUCACGGAGACAGUAAUCGUUGUCAUAGCUUCUUUCUGUCGUCCCCUCCUCCGAUUUUCUGUCGUAAAGCAUUCAUCCUUAGUCUCAAGCCAGCGGCUCACUUCAAAAGUGCCAGAGGUUCAAUCAGCACAAAAAACAACAAGAUUCUUUACCACUGUUUAUUCACCAAAAUUUAGAACCUAACGAGUCUGCUCCUCCCUCUGACACGUUUGCUUUGAGAAGAAGGCCAGGCUUUCCAGAGCCGUCCACCUCCAGCCCUCUCGGGGGUUCUAACUCCCCUGCUCGGGCGCAGACCUGAGCGGGCUGCGACCGCACUGGCCAGUGGCUUUACGAGCCCGCCUCACCCAAGGCACAGCACAAAUGUGGUGGCCUCUGGAACUCGCGCGGGUUUCAGAGAGGCGAGGCAGGGCACGGUGACUGAAGGACCACA